CUGGCACUAUGUAAGAGAAAGACCGGGUGUGGCCUGCACUACGCCCCCGGCACAGUUGGUCAUGUAUGAUAUGUUAUGUAUAAGAGGAAGACCAGGUGUGGCCUGCACUAUGCCCCUGGCAUGAUUGGAAAAUGUAGAGGGCUAAGUGGUGACAAGUUCAUCCUUGAUAUGAUUAGUUGUGAUGUGAUGCAUUCCAUGAAAGCAUGAACC
rnacentral:lncRNA from 1 species